rnacentral:lncRNA from 1 species
CAAAAUCUAAUAUAACACAAUUUAUUUAAAAUUUAAAGUGGAUUGAAUAACAAGUUGAUACGAAUGUAAUUUUUUUCGGUAAAUUAAAAAUUCAAUGCCAGUUUUCGUAACUUGUUUUUUUCUUGUUUUAUUACAAAUGAUUAGUUCUCCUUCUUCUAUGGGCCAACAAGGCUUCAAUACUGUUGUAUACAAUAAAAUCGAGCGUUAUUAAAAAAAAA